rnacentral:rRNA from 1 species
GAUGAACGCUAGCGGCAGGCUUAACACAUGCAAGUCGAGGGGUAUAGUUCUUCGGAAUUAGAGACCGGCGCACGGGUGCGUAACGCGUAUGCAAUCUACCUUUCACAGAGGGAUAGCCCCAGAGAAAUUUGGAUUAAUACCUCAUAGUAUAGCAGUUUCGCAUGAAACCACUAUUAAAGUUCCAACGGUAAAGAUGAGCAUGCGUCCCAUUAGCUAGAUGGUAAGGUUAACGGCUUACCAUGGCUACGAUGGGUAGGGGUCCUGAGAGGGAGAUCCCCCCACACUGGUACUGAGACACGGACCAGACUCCUACGGGAGGCAGCAGNGAGAAUAUUGGACAAUGGGACGCGAAGCCCUGAUCCCAGCCAUGCCCG